rnacentral:rRNA from 1 species
CCAAUAGCGUAUAUUAAAGUUGUUGCAGUUAAAAAGCUCGUAGUUGAAUUUCGGGGUUAGUAGGUUGGUCAUGCCUCUGGUAUGUACUGGUCUCACUGAUUCCUCCUUCCUGAUGAGCCGUAAUGCCCUUAAUUUGGUGUUGCGGGGAAUUUGGACUGUUACUUUGAAAAAAAUUAGAGUGUUUAAAGCAAGCUAACGCUUGAAUACAUUAGCAUGGAAUAAUGAAAUAGGACGUUCGAUCCUAUUUUGUGGGUUUCUAGGAUUGACGUAAUGAUUAAUAGGGUUAGUUGGGGGCAUUAGUAUUCAAUUGUCAGAGGUGAAAUUCUUGGAUUUAUUGAAGACUAACUACUGCGAAAGCAUUUGCCAAGGAUUUUUUCAUUAAUCAAGAACGAAAGUUAGGGGAUCGAAGACGAUCAGAUACCGUCGUAGUCUUAACCAUAAACUAUGCCGACUAGGGAUCGGAUGAUGUUAAUUUUUUAAUGACUCAUUCGGCGCCUUACG